AGCACGUAGGUGGGUUUGUAAGUCAGACGUGAAAGCCUUCUGUUCAACGGGAGAAUUGCAUCUGAAACUACAAACCUUGAGUGUAGGAGGGGAGAAUGGAACUUCUGGUGGAGCGGUGAAAUGCGUAGAUAUCAGAAGGAACGCCGGCGGCGAAAGCGAUUUUCUGGCCUAUUACUGACACUCAGUGUGCGAAAGCUAGGGGAGCAAACGGGAUUAGAUACCCCGGUAGUCCUAGCCGUAAACGAUGGGCACUAAGUAGAGGGG
rnacentral:rRNA from 1 species